rnacentral:rRNA from 1 species
AGCGAACGUUAGCGGCGCGCCUAACACAUGCAAGUCGAACGAGAAAGUUCCCUUCGGGGGACAAGUAAAGUGGCGCACGGGUGCGUAACACGUAGGCAAUCUUCCCUGAGAUGGGGGAUAACCCUCCGAAAGGAGAGCUAAUACCGCGUAAGACCACAGUGACUCCGGUCAACAGGGGUCAAAGCUAGCCUCUACUUGUAAGCUAGUGUCUCGGGAUGAGCCUGCGGCCCAUCAGUUAGUUGGUAGGUAACGGCCUACAAGGCGAAGACGGGUAGCUGGUCUGAGAGGAUGGACAGCCACACUGGCACUGAAACACGGGCCAGACUCCUACGGGA